CAGCCGCCACGGGAAUACGGAGGGUGCAAGCGUUAAUCGGAAUUACUGGGCGUAAAGCGCACGCAGGCGGUCUGACAAGUCAGAUGUGAAAUCCCCGGGCUUAACCUGGGAACUGCAUUUGAAACUGUCAGGCUGGAGUCUUGUAGAGGGGGGUGGAAUUCCAGGUGUAGCGGUGAAAUGCGUAGAGAUCUGGAGGAAUACCGGUGGCGAAGGCGGCCCCCUGGACAAAGACUGACGCUCAGGUGCGAAAGCGUGGGGAGCAAACAGGAUUAGAUACCCGUGUAGUCCCUGUCUCUUAUAC
rnacentral:rRNA from 1 species